CUUUACUGUAACUUGAAAUUGAAAUUGGACUUUAUCUGCGCAGUAUAGGUGGGAGGCGUUGAGAAUAUUCUUGCGGGAAUAUUGGAGCCAUCAGUGAGAUACCACUCCUAUAAUGUUAGAUUUCUCACUUUGUAUCAUUAUCUGGUCAAAGGACAGUUUCAGGCGGGCAGUUUGACUGGGGCGGUCGCCUCCUAAAUGGUAACGGAGGCGCACAAAGGUUUCCUCUGAACGGGUAGAAAUCGUAUCUAGAGUGUAAAGGCAAAAGGAAGCUUGACUGUGAGACUUACAAGUCGAGCAGGGACGAAAGUCGGUCUUAGUGAUCUGACGGUGCUGAGUGGAAAGGCCGUCACUCAACGGAUAAAAGUUA
rnacentral:rRNA from 1 species